ensembl:lncRNA
GUUCUUUAAAAAUCAUGACAUGUUUAUGCAGAGUAAAACAAUUUUAGGUCAAUUUAGGACAGUCAGUGCCCCUAAAAUCUGUACUGCUGCAUCUGAUAGCAGCAAGUAACAAGAACAUCUUACAAUACCUACUAUAUAUAAAACCAAACCUUCAAAGCAUUUGACACAUAUCCAGCACUUUGAACAACAGCCUUCUUUAGCCCCUUGUUAGCAGUUGUGCUUCAAACUAACUCACAGUUUGUCUUUCAGAAGCCACAGCACUAGACAGAGGUAUGAUGAUGAUAACUGCUCCCAGCUGAGAUGCUCACUACAGACAGUUCUGGAGGACCAUGGAGAAUCCUGCUGAAGAGCAAAGCUGGUACCUAUACAAGAUUGACUCCUUACCUGAAGAACUUGCUGGCCAGUAGCCACACGGGUAAGAAGCUAUUAAUCCAUUUUACAGAAUCAAAGAAUCACUAAGGUUAGAAAAGGUCUCUAAGAUCACCAUGUCUGACUGUCAACCCAACACCACCGUGCCCACUACCCCAUACCGCUCAGUGCCACAUCUCCACGGUUGUUCAAUGCCUCCAGGGACGGUGACUCCACCACCUCCCUGGGCAGCCUGCGCCAGUGUGUUACCACAUGCUUUUACAGGUGGGAGAUCAAAGAAAUAGAGUGAAUGAACUUCUCAUGGCCACCCAUAACACAUACAUUAGAGCCAAGCACUGAACAGUUUCCCACACACUAGCCCCAAGCUUCAGCGACAAUGCAAG